UACGUAGGUGGCAAGCGUUGUCCGGAUUUAUUGGGUUUAAAGGGUGCGUAGGCGGUCCUAUAAGUCAGUGCUGAAAUAUCCCGGCUUAACCGGGAGGGUGGCAUUGAUACUGCAGGACUUGAGUAAAGUUGAGGUAGGCGGAAUUGACGGUGUAGCGGUGAAAUGCGUAGAUAUCUGGAGGAACACCGGUGGCGAAGGCGGCAUCCUGGACCGACACUGACGCUGAGGCGCGAAAGCUAGGGGAGCAAACGGG
rnacentral:rRNA from 1 species